rnacentral:misc_RNA from 1 species
UCAAGUGAGGUAAUGAUCCUAUGAGAAUUGUCUGAAGAACUAUUUUUCAUGCUAGAGAAUAUGCUUAAUUGAUUAAGUUGGAUCCAUAUGCUACUUUUGUCAAGACAAAUAGGUGCCAUCUGACCAAGAGAGCUCAUGAUUGACAUUCAAACUCACUAAGAAAUGUUUAAGGCAGAUAGACUCACCUUCAGGAGUGCUGCACGAGCCCGUGAUGCCAAACUUCUGAAUGAUUCCAUCAGUAUCUGCAUAAUUCUAAAAUGAAGCCACUAAUUUUAGAAUUAAUUCUAUAGUUUGCUAAUGUUAUCGGGCAGGUCCCUCUGAAUAAUCAAAUUAUACAUCUGUCAAUGCAUGAAGUUGGAUUUGCUUUGAGCAAUAAAUUAACUUAAUAAAUUGAUUGUGAAGGAAAUGUAAUUUGGUCA